rnacentral:rRNA from 1 species
ACCAACUGGGAUUACCUUAGUAACGGCGAGUGAAGCGGUAAAAGCUCAAAUUUGAAAUCUGGUACUUUCAGUGCCCGAGUUGUAAUUUGUAGAAUUUGUCUUUGAUUAGGUCCUUGUCUAUGUUCCUUGGAACAGGACGUCAUAGAGGGUGAGAAUCCCGUUUGGCGAGGAUACCUUUUCUCUGUAAGACUUUUUCGAAGAGUCGAGUUGUUUGGGAAUGCAGCUCAAAGUGGGUGGUAAAUUCCAUCUAAAGCUAAAUAUUGGCGAGAGACCGAUAGCGAACAAGUACAGUGAUGGAAAGAUGAAAAGAACUUUGAAAAGAGAGUGAAAAAGUACGUGAAAUUGUUGAAAGGGAAGGGCAUUUGAUCAGACAUGGUGUUUUUGCAUGCACUCGCCUCUCGUGGGCUUGGGCCUCUCAAAAAUUUCACUGGGCCAACAUCAAUUCUGGCAGCAGGAUAAAUCAUUAAGAAUGUAGCUACUUCGGUAUGUUAUAGCUUUUUGGAAUACUGUUAGCCGGGAUUGG